rnacentral:lncRNA from 1 species
UGAGAGUAGAAGAAAUAAAUGUUACCUACAUGCUGCUCCUCACACUUUAUCAAAAGUAGAAAGGCAAAUGUUUUGCAAAAGGUUUGCUAACUUGAGAUUACCUGAUAAUUAAGGAUAUAAUAUUGAAAAUUACAUUUUCAAUGGAAGAAUGUAAAAUAGUUGGAUUCAAGCCUCAGGAUGUUAUAUUUUAAUGCAACAAUUAUUACCAAUUGCAUUGAGAAGAUUUCUACCUAAAGGAUCA